AAAGAAGAAAAAAUAAUAAGCCAGGAAACCACCAAACAUACAAAUAUGAAGGUAGAGACCUGCUCAUUCAGUGGUCUAUACCCCUAAAGUAAUUGUACUUGUCAUAAAGAGGGGAGAGUACAAACACAGAAGAAUAAGGAAAAAGAAGAGGAGGGAUAACGUGGGUAUUGUACCUUUAAUUGAACAGGGGAUACACAUAAAAUAAAAUAAUGGAAAAAGAAUCGCACUGGCUCUU